AGGACGAACGCUGGCGGCGUGCUUAACACAUGCAAGUGGAGCGACGAACCAGGGCUUGCCCUGGGGCAGAGCCGCGAACGGGUGAGUAACACGUGGGUUACCUGCCUCGAUGACCGGGACAACCCGAGGAAACUCGGGCUAAUACCGGAUGUGCCCGCAAGGGGAAAGGAAGCUUCGGCCUCCGCAUCGAGAUGGGCCCGCGGCCCAUUAGCUUGUUGGUGAGGUAACGGCUCACCAAGGCUUCGAUGGGUAGCUGGUCUGAGAGGACGAUCAGCCACACUGGGACUGAGACACGGCCCAGACUCCUACGGGAGGCAGCAGUGGGGAAUCUUGCGCAAUGCGCGAAAGCGUGACGCAGCAACGCCGCGUGGGGGAAGAAGGCUUUCGGGUUGUAAACCCCGUUUCAGUUGGGACGAAGCUUCGCCGGUGAAUAGCCGGCUGGAGUGACGGUACCUUCACAAGAACGCACCGGCUAACUACGUGCCAGCAGCCGC
rnacentral:rRNA from 1 species